rnacentral:lncRNA from 1 species
GAUGGAGAUUUGGGCUCCUUGGAAGCCUUAUCGGACUUCUUGGGCAACAAAACAGGGUUAAUGUUGGGAAGCACACCACCAUGAGCAAUGGUCACACCAGAAAGCAAUUUCCCCAAUUCCUCAUCGUUCCUCACAGCCAAAAGAACAUGUCUUGGAAUAAUCCUGUUCUUCUUGUUGUCACGGGCAGCAUUACCAGCCAGCUCAAGAACCUACACAACCCAAUCAAAACAUCAACAAAAUCUAUCAGCAAAACACCAAAUUAAGCAAUUCACAAUCACUCAGAAAUGCAGUCAAUGUUAGGUUACCUCAGCAGCUAGGUAUUCAAGAACUGCAGCCAAAUAAACGGGAGCACCGGAUCCUACACGCUGCGCGUACCUUCCUUUUUUCAAAAAACGUCCAAUUCUUCCGACAGGGAACUGAAGACCGGCCUUAACAGACCUCGACACUGCCUUCUUUUUUGGUCCGCCACCCUUCCUUCCUCCGGCACCCUUCUUGAUUUUUCCGGUGGUAUCCAUGGCCAAACCCUAUAUUUUAGGCGAAAAAUCAGAGUGGUGAUGAAAAAGGAGUAAUUGCAAGAGAACAAGAUGCACAUUGAAGAUUUGUUGUCACCGUUUUUAUAUUAUAAAGGUUUUUGAACUCAAUGCCUCAGGAUCGGGCAUUGAAAUAAUAUUCACCGUUGGAUUCUACUUUUAUCUACGGUUCACGAUGGCUCGCGUGGCAAUCCGUGUCCUUCAAUUCUAUUGGUCUUUCAGGGAAUCUUCGACACCAUAUUGCUACUACGACUUUAAAUUAUAGUAAUCUUUUUUUAUUGGAAUUUCAAUUUUAUAUACAGUAGAAUAUUAACGUUGAUAUAUUACGAAAAUAAUAUUAAAGUACACACGACUAUGAUAUCAAAACUUUAAAAUAUUCAUUAUUUGCAUGUUUUUAACAUUAUAAAAAAUAAGUAAUACUGAAAUAUUCAUUAAAAUAAAAAUAACAUUUAAAUAUAUUUGUUUAUAUAUUGAAUAUAUUAUAUAACGGAAAAAACUAGAAAGGACCAAGACCCUUAUUCAUGUGUAAUUAUUAAGGUUGAAAAUAACAUAAUACUUGUCACUUGGAAAAUUUUGUGAAGUGUGUAAGUGUAACACACGCUACUAUACAUAGAUUUUCGUUAUAUUAACAAUACAGUCAGCUUUUUGUCUUAAAAAACCAUUUGAUAAAUCUUCUGGGCAACUUGUAUUCAAAUGUAAUGAAACAAAAAAAAUAGAACUAGUUAAAGAAUAAUAUCAGGUUGGUUUUCGUGAGCAUUCAAAUAUGAAAUCUCUUUACAAAAAAAAUGAUUAAUUUUUAAUAAAUAAAUUCCAUCAAAGUUAUAAAAUUAGUCAUACAAAAAUUUGAAAUUAAAAUUAAGGGUUCUUUAAAUUUUAAAAACUCGAAAAAUGAGAAAUGUAUGAACAUACUACAUGUAAUUUAUUACCUGCUACCUGUUAUUUGUUACCUAUUAAUUGUUACUUGUUACAUGUUAUCUGGUACCUGAUACAUGCUACCUAUUACCUGCAACCUGCUAUCUACUAUUUGCUACCUAUUACCUAUUACCUGUUACCUACUACCUGUUACUUCUUACCUGCUACCUGCAACUUGUUACCUGUAAUCUGCUACCUACUACAUGUUACAUGCUAAUUGUUACCUAUUACCUGUUACCUGCUACAUGUUACAUGUUAUUUGCUACAUGUUACCUAUUACAUGUUACCUGUUACCAGCUACCUGUUACAUGCUACUUGUUACCUGCUACUUGCUACCUAUUACAUGUUAACUUGUUACCUGCUACAUGUUACCUGUUACCUACCUGUUACUUGCUACCUGUAACCUACUACCUGCUACCUGCUACCUGUAACAUGUUACAUGUUACCUGCGACCUGUAACUUGUUACCUGUUACUUGUAACCUGGUAAUUGUUACUUGCUACCUGUUACUUGUUACCUAUAACCUGCUACCUGCUACCUGUUACUUGUUAUCUAUAACCUGCUACUGGAUACCUGUUACCUGUAACAUGUUACCUGCUACAUGCUACCUGUAACAUGUUACCUGCUACAUGCUACCUGUAACAUGUUACCUGCUACAUGCUACCUGUAACAUGUUACCUGCUACAUGUUACCUGCUACAUGCUACCUGUUACUUGUAACCUGCUACUUACUACCUGUUACUUGUUACAUGUUACCUGCUACCUGUAACAUGCUACCUGUAACAUGCUACCUGUAACUUGUUACCUGUUACCUGCUACCUGUUAUUUGUUACCUGCUACCUGUUAACUGUUACCUGCUACUUGUUACCUGCUACCUGCUAUUUGGUACCUAAUACAUGCUACAUGCUACCUGGAACCUACUACCUGCUACCUAGAACUUGCUACUUGCAACAUGUUACAUGUAACAUGCUACCGGUUACAUGUUACAUGUAACAUGCUACCGGUUACAUGUUACUUGCUACAUACUACUUGUUACCUGCUACAUGUUACCUGCUACUUGUUACCUGUUACUUGGAACCUGCUACCUGUUACCUGUUACUUGUUACCUAUAACCUGCUACCGGUUACCUGCUACCUGGUAUCUGCUACCUAUAACCUGCUACAUGCUACUUGCUACUUGUAACCUGUUACCUGCUACAUGUUACCUGCUACCUGUUACCUGCUACCUGUUUCCUGCUACCUGUAACCUGCUACCUGUAACCUGUAACUUGUUACCUGCUACUUGUAACCUAGUACUUGCUACGUGUAACCUGGUACUUGUUACUUGUUACCUGCUACCUACUACCUGCUACUUGUUACCUGUUACAUGUUACCUGCUACCUGCUACAUGCUACCUGUAACUUGUUACCUAUUAUCUCUUACGGUUAUCUGUUACCUGCUACCUGUUAUUUGUUACCUGCUACUUGUUAUCUGUUACCUGCUACUUGUUAUCUGCUACCUGUUAUCUGUUACCUGCUACUUGUUAUUUGUUACCUGCUACUUGUUAUCUGCUACUUGUUACCUGCUACCUGCCACAUGUUACCUGCUACCUGGAACCUACUACCUGCUACUUGUAACAUGCUACCGACUACCUGUUAUCUGUUACUUGCUACAUACUACUUGUUACCUGUUACAUGUUACCUGCUACUUGUUACCUGAUACCUGUAACCUGGUACGUGUUACCUGCUACUUGAAACUUGCUACAUGUUACCUGUAACCUGCUACCUGUAACCUGUUACGUGUUACCUGUUACCUGCUACUUGCUAUUUGCCUACUACAUGCUACUUGUAACCCUGUUACCUGUAACCUGGUACACCUGUAACCUGGUACCUAUUACCUGUAACCUGGUACUUGUUACCUGUAACCUAGUACCUGUGACAUGUUACUUGCUACCUGGUAUUUGUUACCUGCUACCUGCUACCUGGUAUUUGUUACCUGCUACCUGGUAUUUGUUACAUGUUACUUGUAACCUGCUACAUGCUACUUGUUAUUUGCUAUCAUUUACCUAUUACCUGCUACAUGUUACUUGUUACCGUCUACUUGUUACAUGUAACCUAUUAUCUGCUACCUGUUAUCUGUAAAUUGUAACCUGCUACCUGUAAUCUGCUACCUAUUACUUGCUACAUUUUACUUGCUACCUGUAAACUACUACUUGUUAUGUGUAACCUUCUACCUCUUACGCUACCUAUUACAUGCUACCUGCUACCUAUUACAUGCUACCUGCUGCUUGUAACCUACUUGUUAUAUGUUAUCUGGUACAUGCUACCUUUUCAAUUAAAUUUUUCGUAACUAGUUAAUUCUUUAAUUAAAUAAUUUAUUUUUUCUGAUUUUUUUUUAUGUUUACUUUAUUUAGGCAAAAUAUUUAUUAAAAACUAUUUUAAUGUUCAAACUUUAUACAUAUAAAAAACGAAAAAUAAAAUAAAAUAUAUAUAUAUAUAUAUGUAUUUAAAUAUAAAUUUAAUCACAGGAAUUAAACAUAAGAUUUUCUAAUUAUUAAUUUAAAAUAAAAAUAAUAAUGAAUAUAAUUAUUUAAAAGUAGAAUGUUAUACAUAUCUUGUAAUAUCUUGUAAGUCAUAAACAACGAUUUUAAUUAAAAACAUGUAUGGUUAUAGAAAGAAAAAAAAUAUUAUUUUUGAACAACAUCCACCAGGACUGCAAAACCAAGACCAAAUUGUUUUCUAGAGUUUAAAUCACAAUUUUUAUGGCCAAAUUGUUUUCUAAAGUUUAAAUAACAUUUUUUUAUAGUUUAGGUCAGUGUUAUUAACAAAAAUUGUUUCCUAAAGUUUAUAUCACAUUUUUAUUACUUUAGAUCGCUAGGCGUUACCUAAAAUGAUUCAAUGUCUAGUUGGAACAAAAAGGAAGAGUUAUUUUAAUUUUUUGUUACUCAACAUUUAAAAAGAGAUGGAAAUAAAAUUCAUUUUCUCUAUUCUCGCCUACUAUUAGAUGAUUUAGACCAAACAAACAACUAAUUUAAUUCAUUUUUAAUGCAGUGCAUAAAUGGUUUUCAAAAGUAAAUCAUCACUAAAAUAUGCCUCCAAAACAAAAUGAUUAUCUUCAUCUCUUCUCCUCAGUUAAAACAAUCACACCCUCAAAAUUCAUCAAGUCAUAUACGCAGUAAAAAAUUGAGAAACUGCAUUUUGUACUCCAUCAGUUACUCAGUAGUAGAGGCACAUCUGCAAAAAAGAGUUAAAGAUUAAAAAAAAAAAAAAACACUAUUGAUUUCAUUCCCAGUACUAAGGUAAGAAACUAGUCUCUUGAUCAAACAGACAAUUUCCAGAAACAUAACAGUACAAAUUUUUAUACAACAACGAACCAUAUCUUGAAAUAACCUUAAAUAAGCAUCAGAAUAACAAUGCAGAGUCACUUUUAUUUGCCCUAUUCAAACCUUAAAGAAGUCUCUUCCCAUAUAAGAUCAACAAACAGUUGUCGUAGAUAGAACAAAUGGAUGAAAACGAUAGGUUUCCAUUAAUGAAGCAAACUUCUACACGCAUUACAGUAAAGCAAGAAUACAAGUUUCAACCGUCAAAUCUCAUAUCUAUUACACCAAUGGCAUCCUAACAGAGAUAUACAUAACUAAAUUAAAUUUCUAUUCUAAGCCUUUUUGGGAGAUUUGGUAGCUUUAGAUGGAGAUUUGGGUUCCUUGGCAGCCUUCUCGGACUUCUUGGGCAACAGAACAGGGUUGAUGUUGGGAAGCACACCACCAUGGGCAAUGGUCACGCCAGAAAGCAAUUUCCCCAAUUCCUCAUCGUUCCUCACAGCCAGAAGAACAUGUCUUGGAAUAAUCCUGUUCUUCUUGUUGUCACGGGCAGCAUUUCCAGCCAGCUCAAGAACCUACACAAUCGAAUCAAAACAUGAACAAAACCUGUCAGCAAAACACCAAAUUAAGCACAAUUCACAAUCACUCAAGAAAUGCAGUCAAUGUUAGGUUACCUCAGCUGCUAGGUAUUCAAGAACUGCAGCCAAAUAAACGGGAGCGCCGGCACCCACACGCUGAGCGUACCUUCCCUUUUUCAAAAACCGUCCGAUUCUUCCGACGGGGAAUUGAAGACCAGCCUUAACAGACCUCGACACUGCCUUCUUUUUUGGUCCGCC